ensembl:miRNA
AGGCCGCCCUGGCUCAGUUAUCACAGUGCUGAUGCUGUCCGCUCUGAAGGUACAGUACUGUGAUAACUGAAGGAUGGCGGCC